UCUCAUGAUGAUCCCAUAACCACAGUUCUCGCGAUAAUCUCUGAGCGAUCGAACAAACAUGCACUACCAUCUGACU
rnacentral:snoRNA from 1 species